rnacentral:rRNA from 1 species
GAGAUCGGGAUAACACCUGGAAACAGAUGCUAAUACCGGAUAACAACAGAUGAUGCCUAUCAACUGUUUAAAAGAUGGUUCUGCUAUCACUCUUGGAUGGACCUGCGGUGCAUUAGCUAGUUGGUAGGGUAACGGCCUACCAAGGCGAUGAUGCGUAGCCGAGUUGAGAGACUGAUCGGCCACAUUGGGACUGAGACACGGCCCAAACUCCUAUGGGAGGCAGCAGUU